rnacentral:lncRNA from 1 species
CCAUUUCUGGGCAAUCUCUCUCUAACUUUCCCUCAUUUCACUCUCUUUUCUUCCCUUCUUCCUUAUCCAUCUAUCACCUUCUUUUCUCUAUAAUAACUGGAACAGUCACCACCAUGUUUCACGGCAAACUAUCCAGAUCACCAUAUUUCUACAGGUUACAUGUGUGUUUUGAUGAUGAUUGGAUGCAUAAUCAUCUCGGGGAAACAUUCCCCAAAUUUUACGAUUAAUGAACACGCCACCUUCAAACCACUUUUAUGACCAACUCUGGGCACGACUCAACCUCAUAUUGGUAGGGUUUUAUUCUUCUUAUGUUAAGCUUCUAUUUCAUAGGUAGAACGCGGAGGAUGAUUGAGAAUUGAGCUCAAUCGACGGGUUGAAAAUUGGCCCUGCAAACUGGACAAACCAGCUUUACGCAAAGAUAACGAGUACUAUUAUACUCGCGGACGCGUGAGGCAUGUGUAUAGCGCAUGGCUGCCUAUGCAGCUAUCUUAUGGCGUUCCGUGCGGUGGUGCGUGGAGGAGCUCGAGGUCCCUCGUUAGGUAUCUCGACGUGCCGAAUCAGAAUCCAUGCUCAGUUUUCCAAAUUUGAUCGUUUGAAAAUAGUUCCUUUAUUAAUCGUACUUUGUAUGAAAACGCGUAUUUAUGUUAGUAUGUUAUAUAUUUAUGUGAAUGGUUUCAUUUCUAGGUGAAAUGCAUUGCAAGGAUCUUCGAUGCACGCGAGGUGGGUUCGACCAGAAGAUAUGAUUUCUAAGUGGAUCUUUGCUUUUAAAUAUUAUAUAUUUAUUUAGUUUCCAUUUAUAUAUUUAAUAAAAAAGAUUUCUACGUUACGCCUAGAUUGGAUUAGCGUUUAUAAGAAUUAGUGCAUUGACGUAAUUUAUAAAAUUAUUGUACAUCCUACGGGAUGCACAUGUAUGUGUAUUAUUAUGGGAUGCCUUAAUUAUAUUUACAGCCGUGAAUAGUGUUAUGUUGAGUAGAAUUAUCUAUUUAUCGUUGCAUAAUCAUACUUAUGUUAACUGCUCAUCAUGUGUUACAUGGGUUUUAGUACUUGCUCAUGCCAUGUUGGAAAUGUGCCUUAAAACCAAUCAUAUGAUGAUACUUUACGGACAUUUCACAUGUUAAACUAAUCUAGUUUAAUAUAAAGGGCAAAGAUUAUCGUUUUAAGCCGUCUCAUAUAAAUGUUAUAUGCUUAAAUAAUAAGUCCAAAGAAUAUGUAAUUGGGAGAAUGUGAUAUAAAGAAGUUAGAUUCAUGAGACCAUUCUCUUUCGUAUACAUAUCCUAAACGUUUCUGAUUAUAGGAUUGCCAAUUGGGUAUUGACAGUUUGUUAAGAUCAGUACAAGCUAUGUCUGCUUUUAAGGAGAGUGACUAGUCUCGAGUCAUUGGUG